GUGCCAGAAGCCGCGGUAAUACGUAGGGUGCAAGCGUUAAUCGGAAUUACUGGGCGUAAAGCGUGCGCAGGCGGUACGCUAAGACAGAUGUGAAAUCCCCGGGCUUAACCUGGGAACUGCAUUUGUGACUGGCGGGCUAGAGUAUGGCAGAGGGGGGUAGGAUUCCACGUGUAGCAGUGAAAUGCGUAGAGAUGUGGAGGAAUACCGAUGGCGAAGGCAGCCCCCUGGGCCAAUACUGACGCUCAUGCACGAAAGCGUGGGGAGCAAACAGGAUUAGAUACCCUGGUAGUCCACGCCCUAAACGAUGUCAACUAGUUGUCGGGUCUUCAUUGACUUGGUAACGUAGCUAACGCGUGAAGUUGACCGCCUGGGGAGUACGGUCGCAAGAUUAAAACUCAAAGGAAUUGACGGGA
rnacentral:rRNA from 1 species